rnacentral:rRNA from 1 species
GACGAACGCUGGCGGCGUGCCUAAUACAUGCAAGUUGAGCGCUGAAGGUUGGUACUUGUACCAAUUGGAUGAGCAGCGAACGGGUGAGUAACGCGUGGGGAAUCUGCCUUUGAUCGGGGGACAACAUUUGGAAACGAAUGCCAAUACCGCAUAAAAACUUUAAACACAAGUUUUAAGUUUGAAAGGUACAAUUGCAUCACUCAAAGACGAUCCCGCGUUGUAUUAGUUAGUUGGUGAGGUAAAGGCUCACCCAGGCGAUGAUACAUAGCCGACCUGAGAGGGAGAUCGGCCACAAUGGGACUGGGACACGGGCCAAACCCCUACGGGAGGCAGCAGUAGGGAAUCUUCGGCCAUGGACGAAAGUCUUGCCGAGCAACGCCGCGUGAGUGAAGAAGGUUUUCGGAUCGUAAAACUCUGUUGGUAGGGAAGAACGUUGGUGAGAGUGGAAAGCUCAUCAAGUGACGGUAACUACCCAGAAAGGGACGGCUAACUACGUG